rnacentral:rRNA from 1 species
CGUAAGGGGCGAGCGUUGUUCGGGAUCAUUGGGCGUAAAGGGUGAGUAGGCGGAUAUGCAAGUCUAUGUGUAAAAUACCACAGCUCAACUGUGGAACUAUGCUGGAAACUGCAUGACUAGAGUCUGAUAGGGGAAGUUAGAAUUCCUGGUGUAAGGGUGGAAUCUGUUGAUAUCAGGAAGAAUACCAGAGGCGAAGGCGAACUUCUAGGUCAAGACUGACGCUGAGUCACGAAAGCGUAGGGAGCAAACAGGA